UGUUGUUAACCUGAUGUUCGUCCAAGAAGAUUACAAGCAAAUUCAAAUAAAAUUAUUAAAUAGAUAAAAUCAUAUAACAUCCUCUGAAUCCUUUAAACUAGUCCUACCACGCCACACCAACUAAUCAUCAAACAGAUACCGGCUACUUGCUAAAGCCAAAAUCGAAAAAAUGAAGGAGGCAGAAAAGAGAGUGUGAAGAAAGGACAGAGAGUAUUACUUUGAAGAGAGGUACGAACUACUGAAGUUCAUUAAGAUAGUGCACCAAGCAAGUCUUUAUGUGCAUCUCAGGGUUGGUCCCUAUGCUUGUCCUGAAUGGAAUUUUGGGGUGGCAUCGAUCGAAGGCGGCUCGAAAGGGUAAAACUCUAGUGUAGAACAUUUGAGAGCGCGCAUUAUCGGCAUCAAGGU